GCCCUGGUAGCUCAAUUGGCUAGAGCGUGGGACUUUUACUCAUAUCGAGCUGAUUGGUUCGGUUGGAAUUAGGAGUCAUCCCAAGGUUGCGGGUUCGACCCCCGCCUGGGGCG